UACGUAGGCAGCGAGCGUUGUUCGGAAUUACUGGGCGUAAAGCGUGCGUAGGCGGUGCCUCAAGUUUGGUGUGAAAUCUCCCGGCUCAACCGGGAGGGUGCGCCGAAAACUGAGGUGCUCGAGUGUGGGAGAGGUAAGCGGAAUUCCUGGUGUAGCGGUGAAAUGCGUAGAUAUCAGGAGGAACAUCCAUGGCGAAGGCAGCUACCUGGACCAACACUGACACUGAGGCACGAAAGCGUGGGGAGCAAACAGG
rnacentral:rRNA from 1 species